GCCCGUAUGGGCCACAGACCAAAUGACCCAUUUGGUAUUAGUAACAUAAAUAGUAGUAUGUCUAUAUAGCUCUUCUUUUACAUUUUAUUUCACAUUUCUAUUAUUCCUCUACUUUGUGUUAGUAGUUCACAACAACAUCCUGCAAAAGUACAAGUUCAGCACGCCCUCCAUACUCCGUCGGUACGACAUCUUCGCCGACCUCACGGAUGAACUCUUGCUUCUGUUCUUCACUCAUGAUAAUCCUCAUCUUCUGUUGAGUUGCUUUAUCAAUGAAGUGACAUAUAAAUCGCCAUACGGUGACAAAGAAUUGUGGCAUGUGUAAAAUGUAACAAGUAGCUAAGCGCUCAGGGUAGUAUGCCUGUAAAAACUGAAAACCAGUGAUCAAUCCACGAGUAUCAACAUUGCUAUAGGUAAUAUUCUGGAGAUCAAGAAUUGCAAUAAGUUUCUCAUUUCCUAUUUCCCUACCUUUGAAUGAACUUGCAAUGGUUUUGUCUAGUAGAUGAAUGACAAAUUUCUUGAAUUGAACUUGAUCCUUGGAAGCAAAAUGCUUGUUAAGUUUGAUUAUAGCAACAGGAUAUCCAUUCUUGGACAAUCCUUGUAAAUAUACUUUUUCAGCUGCUGAUUCAUCUGCAACUUCAGAAUCAGAGAUGUAACCAAGUGGAACCAUCUCA
rnacentral:misc_RNA from 1 species